AGUAAAAUAAGCUAAUUUAAGCUGUCGGGCUCAUACCUCGAAUAUGAGAAACAACCUCUUUUACUA
rnacentral:tRNA from 1 species